CCGUAGCCGGUUCCGUAGGUCCUCUGUUAAAUCCAACCGCUUAACGGUUGACCUGCAGAGGAUACCGCGGGACUAGGAGGCGGGAGAGGCGGACGGUACUCCGCGUGUAGGGGUAAAAUCCUUUGAUCCGCGGAAGACCACCAGUGGCGAAGGCGGUCCGCCAGAACGCGCUCGACGGUGAGGGAUGAAAGCUGGGGGAGCGAACCGGAUUAGAUACCCGGGUAGUCCCAGCCGUAAACGAUGCUAGCUAGAUGAUUCAUUCGCAAGUCGCGAAUGAAGUGUCGCAGGGAAGCCGUUAAGCUAGCCGCCUGGGGAGUACGGUCGCAAGACUGAAACUUAAAGGAAUUGGCGGGGGA
rnacentral:rRNA from 1 species